AUGAAUGCAGCUCAGGCAGAGGAUUCUUCAUAUGUCAUCAUGGGUAACCUUCCUGUUAAUGAUAUUCCUGCAAGAGUUCUUUUUGACACGGGUGCAUCGCAUUGUUUCAUGUCAAAGCCAUUUUUUACCAAACAUGAGUUCGUUUCUUCUCAUUUGGGUAAACAAAUGGAUAUCAUUUCUCCUGGCAAACGUUUGAGUGCAAGUCUGGAGGUGUCGGAUGUUACUAUCACAUUGGGCGACUACAAGUUCCUUUCUUCCCCAAUGGUUCUUGGUAACUCGGAUAUUGAUCUUAUUCUCGGAAUGGAUUGGCUUUCUAAGCACAAGGCUCAGCUUGAUUGUGCAGCCAGGCAGAUUCAAUUGACUCAUUCGUCUGAGGAUGUAAUU
rnacentral:rRNA from 1 species